rnacentral:rRNA from 1 species
AUUGAGUUGCGCUGAAUAGACCCGAAGCGAAGUGAUCUACCCAUGGCCAAGGCGAAUCCGCCGUAACAGGCGGAGGAGGCCUGAACUGAUGUUAGUUGCAAAAUGGCUCGGAUGAGCUGUGGGUAGGGGUGAAAGGCUAAUCAAACUUCGUGAUUGCUGGUUCUCCCCGAAAUAACUAGAGGGUUAGCCUCGUUUCAGCCGUGACGGAGGUAGAGCACUGAAUGAGCUAGGGGCGUUCCAACGCUACCGAACUCAAUCAAACUCCGAAUGCCGUUACUGGACGAACGGGAGUUAGACUACGAGUGCUAAGAUCCGUGGUCAAAAGGGAAAUAGCCCAGACCGUCAGCUAAGGUCCCUAAUCGUGAGCUAAGUGGAAAAGGUUGUAAGAUCGCUCAGACAGCCAGGAGGUUGGCUUAGAAGCAGCCAUCCUUUAAAGAGUGCGUAAUAGCUCACUGGUCGAGCGAUUUUGCGCCGAAAAUGUAACGGGCUCAAGUUCACAACCGAAGCUACGGACUUGCAUCG